rnacentral:rRNA from 1 species
GAGUUUGAUCCUGGCUCAGGAUGAACGCUAGCGGCAGGCCUAAUACAUGCAAGUCGAGGGGCAGCAGUACUUUUCGGAGUAGCUGGCGACCGGCGCACGGGUGCGUAACGCGUAUGCAAUCUACCCACAGCAGAGGGAUAGCCCGUGGAAACAUGGAUUAAUACCUCAUAACACAGGGAGCCCACCUGGGCAUAUUGUUAAAGCUACGGCGGCAGUGGAUGAGCAUGCGUCCCAUUAGUUAGUUGGUAAGGUAACGGCUCACCAAGGCGUCGAUGCCUAGGGGUUCUGAGAGGACAGCCCCCCACACUGGUACUGAGACACGGACCAGACUCCUACGGGAGGCAGCAGUGAGGAAUAUUGGUCAAUGGGUGAGAGCCUGAACCAGCCAUGCCGCGUGCAGGAUUGACGGCCCUAUGGGUUGUAAACUGCUUUUCCUGGGGAAGAACACCCCCGACGUGUCGGGGAUUGACGGUACCCGGGGAAUAAGCACCGGCUAACUCCGUGCCAGCAGCCGCGGUAAUACGGAGGGUGCAAGCGUUAUCCGGAUUUAUUGGGUUUAAAGGGUGCGUAGGCGGGCUGCCAAGUCAGUGGUGAAAUCCCGCAGCUCAACUGCGGAACUGCCAUUGAAACUAGCAGCCUUGAGUGCGGUUGGAGUGGAUGGAAUGUGUCAUGUAGCGGUGAAAUGCAUAGAUAUGACACAGAACACCGAUAGCGAAGGCAGUCCACUAAGCCGCCACUGACGCUGAGGCACGAAAGCGUGGGUAGCGAACAGGAUUAGAUACCCUGGUAGUC